GAAGCCUAGACACAAUUUGGUAAUUGUUAUGUCUGCAGUUAUCACUGAAAGAUGGCGUGAGGAUUGUCUGCGUUCCUCAGCAGGUGGACGUUAAGCUGAGGAGGGAUGUCACACAGAGCUGGGAUUUUAUACCGAGAGGGUCCCCUGGUCAACAACACACCCUCAGGAGAAAACUGCAACUCCUCUAUAGUAUAGAGCCCAAUUCCCUGGACAAAACCUCCCUCCACCUGUAAACGCACACAUUUAUCAAUAUCUGUAGUUUAUGGUCACUUAUUUAUACCCUAAUUACCUAAACCGUUUUUAUCUGAGGUACAAUAAUAACAUAUCUUAAAUACCUGUCCAACAUCUAGAGCAGGGUUUAUGCUCCGGCCAACAUCCAUCACGAUGUCAGUUCUAAUGUUCUGUAAAAUAUAAUUUCACAGUCCACAAAAUUGUCAUAUUCAAACUGUAAAUGUGCCCACAAUCUGAAAAAUUGCAUCUUUAUGAAUCCAAGCCAUAGACACACGUCAAUAACUGCUCAUGAAUCUUUACUGAUAUGAUAUCUAAGUUACAUAGCCAAAUCAUAUUAGUAUUUAUGAAUAUAAAUGACAAAAAAGAAAAAGACAAGCACCUUGUGAUCUCCUGUCAAGCAGUCGAUUUCCACCUCUGAGCAACAGGCCCCGAAAGUAAAGUAGUAGUACGCGUUGCCUUCACUCUUUUCCCAGUCAACACUGGUAUGGGGACCCCUGGUAUAAGCAAAUUGUUUAUAAAAUUGAAUAUUUAUUUAUUAUUAAGACACUUUAACAGUAUGUAAUCCCAGAUAACUAAAUAAUUUGCUUUACGCUAGUACAAGAUUAAAUACAUACAUAAAGAAACCUGUUGCUGACAAACUGAUCUUCUGGCAAUAUGCUUCCACAACCUGGAAACAUAACAGCAAUUAAGUGAUUUUCGUUUGUCUGUCCAUCAAUAAUUCAGUUUGUAUUAAACAGUUGAGUACUUGCAUGUCACUCUUACUAACCAGUUGUUGCCAGGUGAAUUGGGGAUGUUUCUUUAUGAGUGGCUCCAGACGUCUCAUCAGUUUCUCACAGCCAUCCUUGAUGCAAAAUAGUACAAUUUCAGUCGUGAAAAAGACAUUUGUAUAAAUACUAAAUCAGUUACUGUUCCUAUACCUUGACUGCCAUCCCGACAGCAUCCGUGCCAAAGGAUGCAGCAGAUGGCGCAGCAUUGGGCACAUUUCCUGUGCAGGUCUCCUUGAUGUGGAUCGAAGACAUUGGAACCUUCAGAAUGCGACUUGCAAUCUGCAAUUUGAAAGUGAAGGUUGACAAUAGCAAUAUUUAAGUGGCAUAGUUCAUGUAAUAUUUGUAUUUGAAUCCAUUGUUCAACACUGAGACUCAUCGCACCUGUAUGGCUUUGGUGUUGAUACCUUGACCCAUCUCGGUUCCUCCAUGUGAGAUCAGAACCGAUCCAUCUUUGUAGAUGUUUACCAAUGCUGCUCCCUGUAAUUAGUUCCAAAUAAAUGGUCCAAUAUUGGA